rnacentral:rRNA from 1 species
GACGAACGCUGGCGGCGUGCUUAACACAUGCAAGUCGACCGAAGCGGCGAACGGGUGAGUAACGCGUAAUCAACCUGCCCUUCAGAGGGGGACAACAGUUGGAAACGACUGCUAAUACCGAAUACUGAAGGCGGGGAUUGCGUCGGAUGAGCUAGUUGGAGGGGUAACGGCCCACCAAGGCGAUGGUCAGGAGCCGGGCUGGGAGGAGGAACGGCCACAUUGGGACUGAAGACAGGCCCAGACUCCUACGGGAGGCAGCAGGGGGGAAUCUUCCGCAAUGGACGAAAGUCUGACGGAGCAACGCCGCGUUAGUGAUGACGGCCUUCGGGUUGUAAAGCUCUUUUAAUCGGGACGCGGUACCGGAAUAGAAAGCCACGGCUAACUACGUGCCAGCAGCCGCGGUAAUUC